AUCUUAAAAUCUGCUUUAGUACCAUCUGCACUUUAGAGAGAAUAUGCAAUACUGUCAUUGUUCUGCAUGCUUUAUGAUGUUUUUUGCCGUGAACUUUUAUUCUUAUUUUAAAAAGCACAGGAUUGAAACCAUAGGAUUUGAGGCAUAGACAAAUGUUACCAGUAACCCACCAAAGAUGAAAAAGGUGAAUUCUGUUUUUCUACUAUCAAGUAUGCUUCAAGAAAGUGAAAUCUUUUUUCUUUGUAAAUGGUAAAACUAGAGUUUCUGAAGUUGUUCUUCCACUGAGGCAAAAAUGACUGUAAACUGCCUCGAGAUGGACAAGGUGGAGAAGGUCAUGCAAGGCCACCAAAGGAGGAUUCUGCCUUUGAAAGGAAAAUCUUUAGCUGAUUUCCCUCUGUACUGUACUUUCCCUCUGUUUCUGUACUUUCCAUCUUUUACAUUCUUCAGUACAUAUCCCGUUGCCAAACUUAGACCCACUCUGGCAAAGCCUUUCUCAUGUGAAUUGUCCUUAAACUGAAGUUAACGAGAAUAAAAAAGUAGAAGUAAAGCAAGCUGUGCACAAGCAUGUAACAAACACAGCACAGGAAGGCAAAAAUGUGAUCAUCAUUCUUUCUCAUCAACUGAAAGGAAGAAGGAGUUGUCGAAGAGUUUGAAUUAGUUCCACAGGGUCAGAAGCAAACUGCAGGCAGCCGAGGGGACAGGGACCCUGUGAAAACUGCGAGGAGCAGAGCAGAGCUCGCCAUCCCGGCCCGACCCGACACCAAGCGCCACCGGCAGAGCUGGCAGGUCCCGGGGCGGGGGGAACCGAGAUCUGUCCCCUUGUCACCGAGCCCUGCAGUGGCUCCUGCACUUUGAGGGCCCGCUGCCCCCCGCUCCUGCCCAAGCACCUUUGAAUAUAUGAAUGCAAGCAGUAUGGAUGCCUGGCUUAGAAUGUAUUUCAUGGUCAGUGGAAAAAAAUGAGGAAGAUGAGGGUGUGGCUGCUGCUUUUAGAGGGCCUGGACAUGCAGACAGGGAUUGGCUUUGAAGUUGUGGUCCUUCAUCAUUACAAAAUGAAGAAUGCUUUUCGGCCUGACAACUUCUUUCUAAACUAAAGGCUGCCUCUGUAUCUGCCUGGAUUUCUGGGCAUUGAGAGAGGUAGGAUCAAUUGCUCUGCCCAGAAGUGUACUGUGCAAGAACUGUGUCACCGAGUCACAUUUCCUCCAACUCUCUUCCUGUUCUAGAGAAGGAACAUUUUAUUCCAUAACUUCUUAGAGUGUAGUUUUACUUCCCUUUUUGGCUAUAGGUAGUGCUGUUAGCUGGUGUGAAGGAGAAAGAACUGCAAAAUGAAGGACAUACAGGCUGAAGGAGGUAUAGCCUUGAGUUUCCUUUGGAGAAUUAGUGGGUAUAGAG